ACUCAAAUGAAUUGACGGGGGCUCGCACAAGCGGUGGAGCAUGUGGUUUAAUUCGAAACAACGCGCAGAACCUUACCAACCCUUGACAUAAAAUUUAUCUUUUGGAAGAGAUUUCAAAAGUUAUGAUUUUACAGGUGUUGCAUGGCUGUCGUCAGCUCGUGUCGUGAGACGUUGGGUUAAGUCCUAUAACGAGCGCAACCCUCAUUUUUAGUUGCUCAUCAGUUCACUGAUGCACUCUAAAAAAACUGCCAAUGAUAAGUUGGAGGAAGGUGAGGAUGACGUCAAGUCCGCAUGGCCCUUAUGGGUUGGGCUACACACGUGCUACAAUGGCAAUGACAAUGAGAUGCAAUGACGUGAGUCGGAGCGAAUCUAAAAACAUUGCCUCAGUACAGAUUGUUCUCUGCAACUCGAGAACAUGAAGACGGAAUCGCUAGUAAUCGCGGAUCAGCACGCCGCGGUGAAUUCGUUCCCGGGCCUUGCACACACCGCCCGU
rnacentral:rRNA from 1 species